rnacentral:rRNA from 1 species
UUGGAGGGCAAGUCUGGUGCCAGCAGCCGCGGUAAUUCCAGCUCCAAUAGCGUAUAUUAAAGUUGUUGCAGUUAAAAAGCUCGUAGUUGAAUUUCGAGAUCAGUACGCUGGUCGUGCCUUCGGUAUGCACUGGUGUCACUGGUUUCUCCCUUCUGAAGAACCGUCAUGUCAUUAAGUUGGUGUGGCGGGGAAUCAGGACUGUUACUUUGAAAAAAUUAGAGUGUUUAAAGCAGGCUCGCGCUUGAAUACAUUAGCAUGGAAUAAUGAAAUAGGACGUUUGACCCUAUUUUGUUGGUUUCUAGGAUCGACGUAAUGAUUAAUAGGGAUAGUUGGGGGCAUUAGUAUUCAAUUGUCAGAGGUGAAAUUCUUGGAUUUAUUGAAGACUAACUACUGCGAAAGCAUUUGCCAAGGAUGUUCUCAUUAAUCAAGAACGAAAGUUAGGGGAUCGAAGACGAUCAGAUACCGUCGUAGUCUUAACCAUAAACUAUGCCGACUAGGGAUCGGAUGAUGUUAAUUUUUUAAUGACUCAUUCGGCGCCUUACGGGAAACA